GUCUGAGAAGAAGUUCAGAACCAUGACUGAAGUUCCAUAAGAUGCGGGCUAAAGAGAUCAUUGGCUGGAUCACAAACUUUGCCAGGAUGCCUCUAUGUAAUACAAUCUCUGUAAGUUAUGUCAGGGGUAUAUAUCCCCAUGAUUUCUAUGCACCAAAUAUGGAUGACUUCUGCAUGAUGAUUUGCUCUUUGGAGUUUGUUUAACGAAAAAGGCCAAGAGUGCACACCCAGAAGAAGGCGGCGCAUGGUAGAUGGACCUUCCAGUCCCUGCACCUCCUCCAGGCUCUCCUGUAGAGAUCAGGCCCAAUAUUGUUAUUGCGCUCUCCUAACUAUACAAAGUCAUUGUGGAACUAGCCUCUUCAAAGUAAGCAGAGAGACAUGAGAAGAUGCCUGAUGCAACAGGCCUACCAUCCAGUUACACUGGCCAGCAGAGUAAGAUGGGCACAGAUGGGACUGCAGCCUAUACCCUCUUCAAGUGGGGAGCAAUGGCCACAGUCCCUGAAACUGUGGAAGGCAUAUGCACAUGCUUCAAAGCAUCCCUGAGGUCCUGUCGUGACAGCAUCCUUACUGCAUGGAUGGGAUAGAGAUCCAAAAUAGCUUGUAUGUGUUUUAGUUUCUUGCCUGACAUAACAUUUUAUUCUGAUGCCAGUACUAAGUGAUAGUAGGAAUGUAAAUGCCCAAAUUUAACGAACGUAGCAACUUCCAUGUGUUGCAAGAAUAUAGUUAACAUUUUAUUUUUUUCCCCAAUUUAUUUUCAUUAUAUUUGUUAAUUAUCUGGAACAUCUCUGAUCUAAAUCUUUGCAACUUUGUAU